AUAGGAAGCAUUGAAGCUCCUUUCCGUAUCAUUUAGAGAAUUCCACCUGCUCAGUUAGGAACCUUCCUAACCAAAAAUGACUUUUCGACUGCAGCACUGACUUUAUGAGGAGGCCUCCAUUUUGUAGCCAGAAAGCUAACAAACAGCAGACCCGCUAACACAGCCGAAGACGGAGUUGGACGGAGGGAGAGGGAGAUGAGAAAUCAGGGAAGAGCAGCGGAUAAUUGCUCGGCUGUCUGCUUUGGACUUCUCACGACGAUAUUCAUAACCUGGAAUACUUUCAUGAAGAAACCCUUUUGAUUUUUGUGACCUGUGCACCCUUAUGGACUAAAGGAAUGAGAAUAAUGGACGAAUGGAGCGUGGUUCUACACAUCUAAACGCCCUCCACCUCCCCACACUCUCUUCUCUCCCUUCGUAGUGAUUGAUGGAGUUAGGCAACAGAGCACAGAGCAACGUGUGGCCAACAGUCCAAGACAGCCUGCAUCAGAGAAAAAAGAGAGAGCCUCGGACCCCCUACCGGGCCGACCCCCACGCUGACCCCCUCCACGCUUUGAGACUGACCCGCUCUGAGGUGCGAACUUCUGUCCCCCAGCUGAUAGAGCCUCCCGAUCAUUUUAACAGUCCCCAUCCCUCCAUGUUUAUGACUCUGCAGUUUGAUUAUAGCAAAGGGGGCUUGGAGAGGUAAGAGCCCCGGAGAGACACACACAUACACACACACACACACACACACACACACACACACACACACACACUUGCAUCAAAGGAGCUAUGAGAGGAAUGUGGACAUUUGUUGUUUGUUUUAUCAUCCAGUACCAGCACUUAUCUGCUUAAUCAUAAAGGAUUGGCCUGGGAAUGAGGCAGGAGGGACGCUGUGCUGGCCAAACAAACUAUCCCCAACACUGUAAUAGAGGGAAGUGCCAGAUUCAAUGUGCUUACAGCAGCUUACAAGGUACAUGGGAGUUUUAUGUGAAGAGAGAGCAGAAGAACAGAACAGAGAGAGGCCAAUGUUUACUUUAACAUUAAGUCCUGGCAAAGGACGGACUGUUCCUGUUACUAAAGACACACCUGAGUGAGCACUAUUUAUGAUCCUUAGUUUAGAUUGCACUUUUCCUUUUAUGUUGGGGUGCAUAGGGGUCUAUUAGAUAACCAGGUAAUAUAUUAUCUUGGAAGACUUUAUUGAUACAUGGUUAACAAUAUUAUGAUACAUCAUCAAUACACCAAGUAUCAUUGUUUCCAUUAAACAUAUGGUUGAAAGUA